rnacentral:rRNA from 1 species
GACGAACGCUGGCGGCGUGCUUAACACAUGCAAGUCGAGCGGUAAGGCCCUUUCGGGGGUACACGAGCAGCGAACGGGUGAGUAACACGUGGGUGACCUGCCCUUAGCUCUGGGAUAAGCCUGGGAAACUGGGUCUAAUACCGGAUAUGACUCCAUGACGCAUGUUGUGGGGUGGAAAGCCUUGUGCGGCUAGGGAUGGGCCCGCGGCCUAUCAGCUUGUUGGUGGGGUGAGGCCUACCAAGGCGACGACGGGUAGCCGGCCUGAGAGGGCGACCGGCCACACUGGGACUGAGACACGGCCCAGACUCCUACGGGAGGCAGCAGUGGGGAAUCUUGCGCAAUGGGCGAAAGCCUGACGCAGCGACGCCGCGUGGGGA